UGAGGAAGAGGGACCGGAAGUGUGGGGGUGGAAGCAUUGAAGGAGGAGAUCACAGCAGGAAAUGAAGCCAUAUCCUGUACACGCUGGCUACCACAUAUGAACCAUCAGAGAGAUGGAGGGCAAUGUCUGGAAGAAGGACGGGAAGAGGGAAUAUAAGAACAUUCAGUAUUAAUGGAUUCCAAACUCCGUGUGAUAACCAGCCGGUCCUGGACCAGUUUAUCAUCGCAGUGUGGACUGAUUCUCUUUUGCAGGAAGUUAGUUUUGACUUCACCAGCUGGAUUGGAGGGCACCUGUGGCAUACCUUGUCCUAUUGCUGUGGGGGACUUCGUCCAGCUUUUAGACAUGCAAGACUAAAUGUGAAUACCAUCUAUACGUAAGUGGCUGAGAAAAUGCUGUGGAGAAGCUUACAGCUCUCCAUCAUCAGCGAUAUAAGCACACUUUGAUUAAUCAGGUGAACUGCAUACAAUCAGGUAGUCUUGCUGAGGAUGAAGAACUUUAUAUGGAUUUGGGGUAAUAGGACUAAAGUCCUUAGCAUCACUUGUUUGGAUUUUUCUCGUUUCAUGAGUAGUUGAUAAUUCAGCAAAGGUUUCUUAAGCACCUAAUCUGACCAUUGCACAGAGGGCUAACUGCGGGGAAUACAGCAGAAAUGACAUCUAAAUGGCACAUAGGGUACCACUCCCCAGCUGUGCCCAUGCGCUGCAGCGAAGGGAACUACAUUUCCCGGGAGGCCUUGCGCUCUCGCUUCCUGGUAGAUUCAGCCAAUGGGAGGCACUGGCCGGAGAUUGGCUGCUGGGAGGAGGAGAGAAGCCUGGAUGUGCCAGCCUCUUCUUCCUGUUUCUCAUGGCUUCAUCCAUGAUUUUAGCUCCAGCACAAGGCAGUCUCUCUCUGUGCUCCCAUUGUGCCUGGCUGGGAGGGCACAGAGACCUUGGGCUCAGAGAGCCCCACAUGCAUUCUCCUUUUGCCCCCCUGGCCUAGGGGUGAGAUCAGUUUCCUGGUGUUGCUCAUAUCUGGAUUUUGUCUCUACUUCUUGUUUGACUCCUCAACUCUUCAUUCACCUGUGCCACAAACCCCCAUAUUAAGUUCUCUCUGCUUGAAAUACCUAGUGUAGUUUCCGGGAUUUUGGACAUCUUGCCUACUCCUUCAAACAUAUUUCAUAUCCCUUUCCCUCCUGCAUGAGGCGUCCCACUCCCUGGCAUCCUUCUUGAUGUUCUUUUUUUUUUUUUUUUGAGACAGAGUCUCACUCUGUCGCCCAGGCUGGAGUGCAGUGGUGCCAUCUCGGUUCACUGCAAGCUCCACCUCCCAGGUUCACGUCAUUCUCC
rnacentral:lncRNA from 10 species